rnacentral:rRNA from 1 species
GCCUACGGGACGCAGCAGUGAGGAAUAUUGGUCAAUGGGCGGGAGCCUGAACCAGCCAAGUCGCGUGAGGGAAGACGGUCCUACGGAUUGUAAACCUCUUUUGCCGGGGAGCAACGGGGUCCUUGCGAGGUCCCAAUGAGAGUACCCGGAGAAAAAGCAUCGGCUAACUACGUGCCAGCAGCCGCGGUAAUACGUAGGGGGCAAGCGUUAUCCGGAAUUACUGGGUGUAAAGGGAGCGUAGACGGUUAAGUAAGUCUGGAGUGAAAGGCCGGGGCUCAACCCCGGGACUGCUCUGGAAACUAUUU